rnacentral:rRNA from 1 species
GAUGAACGCUGGCGGCGUGCCUAAUACAUGCAAGUCGAGCGAACGGACGAGAAGCUUGCUUCUCUGAUGUUAGCGGCGGACGGGUGAGUAACACGUGGAUAACCUACCUAUAAGACUGGGAUAACUUCGGGAAACCGGAGCUAAUACCGGAUGAUAUUUUGAACCGCAUGGUUCAAAAGUGAAAGACGGUCUUGCUGUCACUUAUAGAUGGAUCCGCGCUGCAUUAGCUAGUUGGUAAGGUAACGGCUUACCAAGGCAACGAUGCAUAGCCGACCUGAGAGGGUGAUCGGCCACACUGGAACUGGGACCCGGUCCAGACUCCUACGGGAGGCAGCAGUAGGGAAUCUUCCGCCAUGGGCGAAAGCCUGACGGAGCAACGCCGCGUGAGUUAUGAAGGUCUUCGGAUCGUAAAACUCUGUUAUUAGGGAAGAACAUAUGUGUAAGUAACUGUGCACAUCUUGACGGUACCUAAUCAGAAAGCCACGGCUAACUACGUG